UACGUAGGGCGCAAGCGUUGUCCGGAAUCAUUGGGCGUAAAGAGCUCGUAGGCGGCCUGUUGCGUCCGCUGUGAAAUCCCGGGGCUUAACCCCGGGCGUGCAGUGGAUACGGGCUGGCUGGAGCACUGUAGAGGCUCAUGGAAUUCCGGGUGUAGCGGUGGAAUGCGUAGAGAUCCGGAAGAACACCGGUGGCGAAGGCGGUCUGCUGGGCCAAGACUGACGCUGAGGCGCGACAGCGUGGGGAGCAAACAGG
rnacentral:rRNA from 1 species